ensembl:lncRNA
UGGCAAUAGGAGUCUCAGAAAUACCUUGUUUUUCAUCACUGAAGUGAAUAUUAUUGCUCGUUUUGAACUCUGUACUCUUAAAGGGGCAUCAUUUUCUUAAAAGAAUCAGCAGCUUUAUUAUUUGCUGUUAUCAGUAAUAGUAGUAUGACCAUUUAUCAGUGUAGUCAUUUAUUCAUUGAACAUUUAUUGACUAUCAGCUUUUUUAUAGAUGGUGAAAUAAUCAAAAAAAUUAUUCAGUUGAUAUUUUUAUAGAUAUUAAAUGUAUUUUUCUAGUUGCUAUAAACAAUAAAGCCUAUGUAUGUGGCUUUAGUACCUUCAAGGAAUUUACAGUGUGGUAGAGAUGACAAAAAUAAGUAUAAGAAAGAAUGAUUUCUACAUAGCAGAGUAUCAAUUUUCACUUCUGUCUUGAAGGACCAUAGAGUUUAGAAGAGAAGUUGUUCAGUAAGGAAAUGUUUCGUGAGAACGAUAGAAUUCACAUUGCAUAUGGAAGAAUAUGGAAGGUAGAAGUAAUGGGGAGUAUAUUCUAGGCAGUGACAUGGACAACAAAAAUGAAGACAUGGACGUAGAAUGAAGAUAUUCACAAGUUGGUGAAGAAAGUGUCUCGUCAACUAUAAAUUCACACUAUGAGGAACCAGUAUGAGAUAGGAAGCUUAAAUCUUUCAUGUAAGAGGAGGAAUGAUAUAAAUAGAGGAAUGACAUGAUACAUUGGACGAAAUAAAUACCCUGACUCCUAAUCCUUUCUUCUUCCAUGGUAGGUUAUAUUGAAGUCUAAAUUUUUUUUUCAGAAACUUGGUUGAAUUACAAUUCAGUCUACCAACUACAUAUAGUCUACCAAUUUCAAGUGUACAGUUCUAUAGUUUUUAGUAUGUUCACAAGGUUUUGUAUCUAUCACCACAGUCAGUUUUAGGACCUUUUCAUUACUCCCAAAAGAACCUCCAUAUCCCUUAGCCAUCACCCCCCAAUCCCUCCAUACCCUGAGCCCUAGGCAACUACUGAUGCACUUGUCUCUAGAUUUGCCUGUUCUGAACUUUGCAUGUAAGUGGACUCAUACAGUAUGUUGUCCAUUGUGAUGCGCUUCUUUUACUUAACAUAGUAAUACUUUCAGGGUUCAUCCAUGUUGUAUCUAUCAGGACUUCAUUCCCUUUUAUUGCUAAAUAAUAUUCCACUUUAUGGAUAUGCAAUAUUUUAUUCAUGAAUUUCAUGGACUUUUGGACCUUUUGGCUGUUGUGAAUAAUGCUGCUGUGAAAUUCAUUUAUGCACAUUUUUUCAUUUCUCUUGGGUUUACUGAGUGGAAUUGCUGGAUUAUAUGGUUACUCUGUUUAACCAUUUGAGGAACUCCAAGAUUGUUUGCCAAAGCUAUGGUUCCUGUUUUUUGUUUUAUGUUUUUUGUUUUUUGUCUUUUCUAUGGCCGCAUUCGCAGCAUAUGGAGCUUCCCAGGCUGGUGGCUACAGCUCCGAUUCAACCCCUAGCCUGGGAACCUCCAUAUGCCGCGGGAGCGGCCCAAGAAAUAGCAACAACAACGACAAAAAAAAAAAAAAAAAAAAAAAAAAAAAAAAAAAAAAAAAAAAAAAUCAGGUUUCUUGUCUUCUUAUUAUUGAGUUGUAGUAAUUCUUUAUUAUUCUAGAUACAAGUUUCUUACCAUAUAUAUGAUUUACAAAAUUUUCUUUCAUUCUGUGGAUUGUCUUCACUUUCUUGGCAUGAAAACUUUUAAUUUUGACAAUUUCCAAUUCUUUUUUUUUUUCUUUUAUUGCUUGUGCUUUUUUGGUGUCGUAGAUGUCAUAAAUUCUUAUUUAAUUAUUACAUUUUAUAAAUUUCUCUGAAAGUCCAGGCAAACAGGAUACUAUUAUUUAACAAAAAAUAACUAAAUCUACUAAUGCAUUUUGGAGUUUGGUCUUCUCUCUUAUCCUGUGUCCAGACCCCUUAGUUGAGUGACUGAUGAAAAGAAGCAAAGGUGAAAAUCAAGAAAUAACAACUUUGAGUGAAACAUUUUAAUUCAAAGCACUCUAUGUUGAGAAAUAUUUUUUAUGAGAAAAUUUAUUAUGUUCGUGUGGAUGUGGUGUAUUACUCAUAAAUUCUGCUGUAUUUGGGGAAUUUUCACACUUAGUAAACUUUUACCACGAAGGUAAAAACUUUUACCAUGAAGGUGAAAACUUUUGCCAUGAAAGGUAACUCUUUCAUUUUUUACAGAUGACUAAACUGAGCUCUGGAGAAUUUAAAUUUACAUGCUGGUAGACCCUUUUUCGGGGCAAGAAAUAAUAGUAAAGCGUCAUCUUCACUCUGAACAUUAAUAGCAUUAUCUCUUUAGUGAAAGUUUUCAAGGUUCUAGCUUUAUUGAUGAUUGCUAGAACUUUCUGUUCCUCAAAGUACUUAAGUUUAGGUUUAUGAAAGUUCACUUGGAGGAGGUAUUGUAGCCAAGGUCUUGAAAAAAGUAUAUUCAUUUCAUUAUCUUACUAAUCAGGUCUCAUCAACAGAAAGAUUACCAUAAAUGGCCAGCUCUUGCUUUCCUUUUUUCUGUAAUUCAUUGUUUCCCUAUCAUUUCAAAAUAGGAGUUCAUGGUUUUAAAUCAAUGUUAACUAGAUAAUUGUUAGAGAAUUUAUAGGUAAACUAGUGGUGGGGAUUACUGUAUACUUUCGAGCUCAUAUAUAUACAUAUAUAAAAUGAUACAUAUUUUAUUUAAGCUCUUGAGAGAAAGAUCCUUGUCUGCUUUAAACUGUAAUCCCCAUAGUUUUUGGCAGAAUACUUUUACGUAGUAGGCACAGAAAAGUUGUGAUGAGUGAGUCAUCUUGGAGGGUCACAAAUUUGAAAGACAAGAUUAAAACCAGUCCCCCUUGGAGUUCCCAAUGUGGCACUGUGGGUUAAGAAGUAGACUGACUGCAGCAGCUUGGGUCUCUGCAGAUGCACAGAUUCAGUCCACAGUCUGGCACAGUGGGUUAAAUGAUCCAGCAUUACUGCACCUGUGGCUGGGAUUCAGUCCCUGGCCCAGGAACUUCCAUAUGCUGCACCAGAACAAUAACAACAGUCCCUCUUCAGAUUUGCACAGGUUCCAGAAAGCAGACAUAGAUGCUUAGACAGUGAACACUGAAAUUACAGAUUUAUUUUUUAAAAGCCAAGGAAAUUAGUUUUGUUUUUCAUAGCUUUAAAAAAGGUUUUCUUCCUCGGAGGUUUAAUUAAUUCUGAUGCUUUACUAAUACUUCCUACUUCUGAAACAUGAGAAAUAACAUGAGAUUGUAUUAAUUGAAGUGAUUACCAGAAGCCACUACUGGGUUGGGUUUUUUUAAAAAAGUACAUUUACCUAGAAUAUUGGACUUGAUACUGAUUAUUUCAGGAUUAAAAAUACCUAAACCUGAAGUGAGUCUUUAUCAAAACUGUACAUAAAGUCUUUGCUUUCAUCUGCAUGUCAUUUAUCAGCUUUGUAGAUUAACCAUGGCUAAUUUUAAAAUUUAGUUCAAUAUUUUCUUGGGCUCUUUCUAGAAGCAAGACAUGAUUAAAAUGAUUAACGUGUUACUUAAUAGUCCAUGCAAUUUCAUUGGCAAAUAUUUCUUCACUUUUUAUAUAUAAUAUUAGAGGCUGGAUGGUACACUCUAAACAAUCUUGUGAAGUCCUUAAAAAUCUCAGAGCUCCUAUUGUGGUUUAGCGGGUUGAGAACCCAACUAGUACCCAUGAGAAUGCAGGUUUGAUCUCUGAUCUGUAUUGCCCUGAGCUGUGGUGUGGUUUGCAGAUGAUCCCAAGUUCCUGUGACUGUGGCAUAGCCUGGCAGCUGCAGCUCCAAUUCGACCCCUAGCCCUGGAUUCCAUAUGCCGUGGGUGCAGCCCUAAAAAAAAAAAAAAAAAAAAAAAA